GAUGAAUGCUGGCGGCGUGCCUAAUACAUGCAAGUCGAGCGAAUGGAUUAAGAGCUUGCUCUUAUGAAGUUAGCGGCGGACGGGUGAGUAACACGUGGGUAACCUGCCCAUAAGACUGGGAUAACUCCGGGAAACCGGGGCUAAUACCGGAUAACAUUUUGAACCGCAUGGUUCGAAAUUGAAAGGCGGCUUCGGCUGUCACUUAUGGAUGGACCCGCGUCGCAUUAGCUAGUUGGUGAGGUAACGGCUCAACAAGGCAACGAUGCGUAGCCAACCUGAGAGGGUGAUCGGCCACACUGGGACUGAGACACGGCCCAGACUCCUACGGGAGGCAGCAGUAGGGAAUCUUCCGCAAUGGACGAAAGUCUGACGGAGCAACGCCGCGUGAGUGAUGAAGGCUUUCGGGUCGUAAAACUCUGUUGUUAGGGAAGAACAAGUGCUAGUUGAAUAAGCUGGCACCUUGACGGUACCUAACCAGAAAGCCACGGCUAACUACGUGCCAGCCGCCGCAGUAA
rnacentral:rRNA from 1 species